rnacentral:rRNA from 1 species
UACAGAGGGGGCAAGCGUUAUUCGGAAUUAUUGGGCGUAAAGAGCUCGUAGGCGGUCUGUCACGUCGGCUGUGAAAACUCGGGGCUCAACCCCGAGCCUGCAGUCGAUACGGGCAGACUAGAGUGCUGUAGGGGAGACUGGAAUUCCUGGUGUAGCGGUGAAAUGCGCAGAUAUCAGGAGGAACACCGGUGGCGAAGGCGGGUCUCUGGGCAGUAACUGACGCUGAGGAGCGAAAGCGUGGGGAGCGAACAGG